CAAUAGCGUAUAUUUAAGUUGCUGCAGUUAAAAAGCUCGUAGUUGGAUUUCGGGUGGGAAUGGCCGGUCCGCCGUUUCGGUGUGCACUUGCUACGCCCACCUUGCUGCCGGGGACGUGCUCUUGAGUUCACGCUCGGGACACGGAGUCGGCGAGGUUACUUUGAGUAAAUUAGAGUGUUCAAAGCAGGCCUACGCUCUGAAUAUAUUAGCAUGGAAUAACACGAUAGGACUCUGGCCUAUCUUGUUGGUCUGUAGGACCGGAGUAAUGAUUAAGAGGGACAGUCGGGGGCAUUCGUAUUUCAUUGUCAGAGGUGAAAUUCUUGGAUUUAUGAAAGACGAACUACUGCGAAAGCAUUUGCCAAGGAUGUUUUCAUUAA
rnacentral:rRNA from 1 species